rnacentral:rRNA from 1 species
GCCUGCGCGGAAGAUGUAACGGGGCUAAGCAAUACACCGAAGCUGCGGCAAUGUCUUUUAGACAUUGGGUAGGGGAGCGUUCUGUAAGCCGUUGAAGGUGAAUCGUAAGGUUUGCUGGAGGUAUCAGAAGUGCGAAUGCUGACAUGAGUAACGACAAAGGGGGUGAAAAACCUCCUCGCCGGAAGACCAAGGGUUCCUGUCCAACGUUAAUCGGGGCAGGGUGAGUCGACCCCUAAGGUGAGGCCGAAAGGCGUAAUCGAUGGGAAACGGGUUAAUAUUCCCGUACUUCUGACUAUUGCGAUGGGGGGACGGAGAAGGCUAGGUGGGCCAGGCGACGGUUGUCCUGGUUCAAGUGCGUAGGCUUGAGAGUUAGGUAAAUCCGGCUCUCUCUAAGGCUGAGACACGACGUCGAGCUACUACGGUAGUGAAGUCAUUGAUGCCAUGCUUCCAGGAAAAGCCUCUAAGCUUCAGAUAGUCAGGAAUCGUACCCCAAACCGACACAGGUGGUCGGGUAGAGAAUACCAAGGCGCUUGAGAGAACUCGGGUGAAGGAACUAGGCAAAAUGGUACCGUAACUUCGGGAGAAGGUACGCUCUUGAUGGUGAAGUCCCUCGCGGAUGGAGCUGACGAGAGUCGCAGAUACCAGGUGGCUGCAACUGUUUAUUAAAAACACAGCACUGUGCAAAAUCGCAAGAUGACGUAUACGGUGUGACGCCUGCCCGGUGCCGGAAGGUUAAUUGAUGGGGUUAGCGCAAGCGAAGCUCUUGAUCGAAGCCCCGGUAAACGGCGGCCGUAACUAUAACGGUCCUAAGGUAGCGAAAUUCCUUGUCGGGUAAGUUCCGACCUGCACGAAUGGCGUAAUGAUGGCCACGCUGUCUCCACCCGAGACUCAGUGAAAUUGAAAUCGCUGUGAAGAUGCAGUGUACCCGCGGCUAGACGGAAAGACCCCGUGAACCUUUACUACAGCUUGGCACUGAACAUUGAACCUACAUGUGUAGGAUAGGUGGGAGGCUAUGAAGACGUGACGCCAGUUGCGUUGGAGCCGUCCUUGAAAUACCACCCUUGUAUGUUUGAUGUUCUAACUUAGACCCAUUAUCUGGGUUGAGGACAGUGCCUGGUGGGUAGUUUGACUGGGGCGGUCUCCUCCCAAAGAGUAACGGAGGAGCACGAAGGUGGGCUAAUCACGGUUGGACAUCGUGAGGUUAGUGCAAUGGCAUAAGCCCGCUUAACUGCGAGAAUGACGGUUCGAGCAGGUGCGAAAGCAGGUCAUAGUGAUCCGGUGGUUCUGUAUGGAAGGGCCAUCGCUCAACGGAUAAAAGGUACUCCGGGGAUAACAGGCUGAUACCGCCCAAGAGUUCAUAUCGACGGCGGUGUUUGGCACCUCGAUGUCGGCUCAUCACAUCCUGGGGCUGAAGUCGGUCCCAAGGGUAUGGCUGUUCGCCAUUUAAAGUGGUACGCGAGCUGGGUUUAGAACGUCGUGAGACAGUUCGGUCCCUAUCUGCCGUGGGCGUUGGAAGAUUGAAGGGGGCUGCUCCUAGUACGAGAGGACCGGAGUGGACGAACCUCUGGUGUUCGGGUUGUGUCGCCAGACGCAUUGCCCGGUAGCUAAGUUCGGAAUUGAUAAGCGCUGAAAGCAUCUAAGCGCGAAGCGAGCCCUGAGAUGAGUCUUCCCUGACAGUUUAACUGUCCUAAAGGGUUGUUCGAGACUAGAACGUUGAUAGGCAGGGUGUGUAAGCGUUGUGAGGCGUUGAGCUAACCUGUACUAAUUGCCCGUGAGGCUUAACCAU